CUGAACUCUAUCCACUAUUACCGUUGAUUCACGGGGACACGUCCUGUCAUUCUAUAGAAGAUUCCCCUGAUUCGCAAGAGGCUGCUCCGGCUCACGUUACCAUCUGGCACUUCAACUCACACUUCCAGUGGUUGCUAUCUCAUUGCUGAAAAUCUCUGCACACAACGGCGGCUCCGGCCAGCGCCAUUGCACGGCUCCUACAGCCAGCAGAGGGUUCUCCCGGCAAUUAAGGACGACUGCGGUCAGCGCUGUAUCACGGUACCCACAGCUACCAAGGGUCUUUCCGUGUAAACAGCCAGCACACGGCAUUCCUGGCCACAGCCACUGCUCGGCUCAUUUACCCAGUCAGCAGCACUUCUGAUUACCAAGACUGGUUACCUUCUAUAAGUGGACGUUAAAGGAUUCUCCUCAGCCCUUGGGAGACUACCUGAAGUUCCUGGCUAAACCACUUCAAAGACGCCGGUAAUUUGACUACAGCUCCUAACAUAUUUUGCUACCUUAUACGUCUAUAGGCCAGCCUGAAACUCCUAGUGUCUGAAAAAAGCAGUACUACUCGUCGGCCAGUAAAUCCUAACACAUCUGAUGAUGAUGACGCUGCGGAAGCAGGUCCAUCAAAAGAAGUAUGGAGCAGCAGAAGUGGCUCUUCUGUUAGACAUCACCACAAGAAACCUGUGGCCGAAAAGAAAGCAAGGUCGUCUGUCCCGCCACAAACACAGCAGGCUACCCCGCCACGUAGAUUAUCGUCCGUAUGAUCUGUCCCCCCACUCCAAAUCUUGGACACACCUCCAAGACGUCAUCCACACUCCCCUCAUCUUGAUUCUUCGAGUCCUGGGAACAGCAUCCCUCCGCAACAACACCAACACAGUGACAUGGAGGAGACAAACAUCUUAGAAAUACAGCCAUUAAUGCAAGGAAUGAGCCCCCCAGCACCUGUGAGUACACCACCACAGCAAAGCACACCACCCCCACCACAACACAGCCCAACAACACCAGGAACGGAACACAAGGCCCUGAUCAGGUGUUUUGGACUAUUUGGGCUAGACAGCAGGCCACUAAUGAAGAUUGCCUGCAUAAGCACACACAAAUGUUUGCAAGCCUACCAUCUCACCUCAGAAGAAUCUCAAGAAAUCUGAGUCGACAAAAUGAGCAAACAACCAGAAUAGGCAAUACCAUGGAACUCAUGCGUACAGACAUUACACAGGUCAUGGGCAACUUACAGCGCAUAAUGGAAGAACGGCACAGACUAAUGGAAGAACAGCACAGACUAAUGGAAGAACAGCACAGACAACAGCAAAGUUAUAUGAGCAUUUUUCAAAACAGUCAAAAGAUUAAUGAAAGUUUAUUCAGAAUAGUAGACAAUCAAAAUGCUGCGACACGUGAACUCAAUGCCACCCUCACUAACCUGAAUGAAACACUCAGAUGCAUGCACCAACAGCAAACAACCAGCUCCAAAUAUCACGCCAGUCUCAUCACCACCAAGACGGUCCACCAGAGCACGCCAACAUGACAGUGCUAAAGGCAAAGGGCAGGACAAGCAGCCACCAAAAAAAACAUAACAAAAAGAAGUUAGACAUUUGUGAUAAGUAAAGUUAGCAAGUGUUUUUGAUGCUUUACAAAAUAGCACACUUAGCUCCUUGCCCCUUUUUUUAACAUCAUUAAUUAUAAGUGCACCAAAUUAAGUGUAAAAAAUAGUUCACACAUUUAUUCCUUGUCAUUUUUUUGGGGUAUUGGAGGAGGAAAAUGUUGAUGGAGCCACACAUACAUGUUAGCAGGAAGUAAAGUGACCACUUGAUUUUUUUCUAAUUAUUACUCUUUCUAGAUUCCAAUCAUUCUCUUUGCCUGCAGAUACAAUAAUUGCCAGCCAGGCAGAAUGUCUUUAGCAGGAAGUAAAGUGACCACUUGAUUUUUUUCUAAUCAUUACUCUUUCUAGAUUCCAAUCAUUCUCUUUGCCUGCAGACAAUCCAAAUUACAAUGUUAGUGAUACAUAUCUUAGCUAGCUUAUCUAUACAACAUUACAAGAUGAACACAAUUGAGUUGCGUAAAAAGCUUGUAAUAUGUUGCCUUUGUUUUGUUUUUAAAAUAUUGUCCAAAUGAAUGUCAGUAUUGUUGGGCCAGGUUUGUGUGUGCUAAAAAUGAUUAAGCAUGUUUUUACACAUGAUGCUGAAACAAACAAAUAUGUACUUUAACAAAAUUUAAAAAAAACUGGUUAUAAUAAUGUAUAUGUGUGGCAAACUGUGUAUUUACUUACACAUCAUCAAGUUUACAGCAUCAAACAUUAGGAAAUAAAUUAUUCCUGAUUACAGUAAGUUUGUGAGUCUUAAAUAUGAUGGUGCGUCACACAUAGGGACACA